AGAGUUUGAUCCUGGCUCAGGACGAACGCUGGCGGCGUGCUUAACACAUGCAAGUCGAACGAUGAACCACUUCGGUGGGGAUUAGUGGCGAACGGGUGAGUAACACGUGGGCAAUCUGCCCUUCACUCUGGGACAAGCCCUGGAAACGGGGUCUAAUACCGGAUACAACACUCUCGGGCAUCCGAUGAGUGUGGAAAGCUCCGGCGGUGAAGGAUGAGCCCGCGGCCUAUCAGCUUGUUGGUGAGGUAACGGCUCACCAAGGCGACGACGGGUAGCCGGCCUGAGAGGGCGACCGGCCACACUGGGACUGAGACACGGCCCAGACUCCUACGGGAGGCAGCAGUGGGGAAUAUUGCACAAUGGGCGAAAGCCUGAUGCAGCGACGCCGCGUGAGGGAUGACGGCCUUCGGGUUGUAAACCUCUUUCAGCAGGGAAGAAGCGAAAGUGACGGUACCUGCAGAAGAAGCGCCGGCUAACUACGUGCCAGCAGCCGCGGUAAUACGUAGGGCGCGAGCGUUGUCCGGAAUUAUUGGGCGUAAAGAGCUCGUAGGCGGUCUGUCGCGUCGGAUGUGAAAGCCCGGGGCUUAACCCCGGGUCUGCAUUCGAUACGGGCAGACUAGAGUGUGGUAGGGGAGAUCGGAAUUCCUGGUGUAGCGGUGAAAUGCGCAGAUAUCAGGAGGAACACCGGUGGCGAAGGCGGAUCUCUGGGCCAUUACUGACGCUGAGGAGCGAAAGCGUGGGGAGCGAACAGGAUUAGAUACCCUGGUAGUCCACGCCGUAAACGGUGGGAACUAGGUGU
rnacentral:rRNA from 1 species